GGAGCUAAUCCCAGAAAACCGAUCGUAGUCCGGAUCGCAGUCUGCAACUCGACUGCGUGAAGUCGGAAUCGCUAGUAAUCGCGAAUCAGAAUGUCGCGGUGAAUACGUUCCCGGGCCUUGUACACACCGCCCGUCACACCAUGGGAGUGGGUUGCACCAGAAGUAGCUAGUCUAACCUUCGGGAGGACGGUUACCACGGUGUGAUUCAUGACUGGGG
rnacentral:rRNA from 1 species